AUACAGAGGUCUCAAGCGUUGUUCGGAAUUACUGGGCGUAAAGGGUGCGUAGGCGGCGGGGUAAGUCAGAUGUGAAAGCCCGGAGCUCAACUCCGGAACUGCAUCCGAUACUGCCUUGCUUGAGUAGUGGAGGGGCGACUGGAAUUCACGGUGUAGCAGUGAAAUGCGUAGAUAUCGUGAGGAACACUAGUGGCGAAGGCGAGUCGCUGGACACUUACUGACGCUGAGGCACGAAGGCCAGGGUAGC
rnacentral:rRNA from 1 species